AUUGAACGCUGGCGGCAGGCUUAACACAUGCAAGUCGAGCGAGCGGCGGACGGGUAAGAAAUGUCUGGGAAACUGCCUGAUGGAGGGGGAUAACUACUGGAAACGGUAGCUAAUACCGCAUACCAUCAGAUGUGCCCAGAUGGGAUUAGCUAGGAGGUGGGGUAAUGGCGCACCUAGGCGACGAUCCCUAGCGGGUCUGAGAGGAUGACCAGCCACAUUGGAACGUGGACACGGUGCACACUCCUACGGGAGGCAGCAGUGGGGAAUAUUGCACAAUGGGCGCAAGCCUGAUGCAGCCAUGCCGCGUGUGUGAUGAAGGCCUUCGGGUUGUAAAGCACUUUCAGCGAGGAGGCGUUACUCGCAGAAGAAGCACCGGCUAACUCCGUGCCAGCAGCCGCGGUAAUAC
rnacentral:rRNA from 1 species